AGUGACAAAGGAAACAAUGUCCUGCUACAGACAGUCACAGAUAACGGGCAACUCAGCCUGUUAUCCUCCAGGGCAAGGCACUGGGAGACAAUAGCCAGAGAGACUUGGGCUGCAGCAUUUUCCCAGGCUUUCUGAACAUACUGAGUUUGCGACAGCAUCGUGCUCUAAGAGUGAAUCCUCCUGAGAAGGUGUCAGCUCUCCUUCACCUCUGAUGGGCCUUUUUGCUGCUCCUGUUGACUGCAGAGGAACUUCAGCAAUUCAAUUUAACAAAAUGGAAAAACUUACUAUUUGCAUUUUCAAAUAUUUAUUCAGCUUUGUGAUAUUAUCACAACAAUGAGGAAGGUUUGAAAGGUUGAGAAAGAAAGGCAUCCGGGCUUUGUCUGAAAACAUCCAUCAACACAGAAGUUCUCAUGCAAAGUUCUUCAGCUUCAUAUCUGUUUGCUGCUUCUCUCUUUGCUGGAUAACUGAGCUGCUCAGCAUGGCCCAGGAUUUUUUUUUUCCAGGAAGCCACUGUCAGGAGGAUAUAACUGAUGCAGCUCCACUGUAUAGUUAUGUAUGGGCAUCACAGCAUCAUGUUCAAGCUAACAACCUGAUCCAAAACUGUUCGCCCUGAGAAUAUGGUGCAGAGACUCAGAAAACUGAUCAGCAGCUGAUAAACUAAGGAAUCUCACAAGAAUCAUCCCAAAGGCAUCCAUCAUUUUGGCAAAAAUCUGAUUGUACAGGCUUUGGGGAAAAUAUUUUUCCUUACAGAGAAUGUAAAAAGCAACAGGGACAGAAAAAAUGGCUAACUUGGCGUGUUUCUUCUCUGACUCCUGACAUGCUGCACACAAUUGCCACAUCGGUAUAUUUCUGCAAAUGUGACUGCUCACUCAGAACUCCAUCCUAAGCACUGGAAAACUCCUGCAGCCUGAGAAAUAUAGCUAAUAAGAUCCAUCUGCUUUGGAGACAUUUUUAAUUCCUAUGAUUUACUCGUUAAUUUUCUCUUCUCUAAUUACACACAAACGUUAGUGGGGGGAACUGGAAGAAGAGAAACAGGGAGAAAAAAAGAGCCAGCUGGUAGGGACCGACUGCACUUCGUGUUGCAGUCACUAGCCGGCGUGAUCCCCACAGUCAUUGCAACACAGCCUGGUCCCCGGCUCUUUCUCAGAGACAGAUUGUGAAAUGAGGAAUCUUUUUCAAGAAAAAUAGCAAAAGGGAGAAUCCUGAUAGAUGAGGGGGAAUUGUGCCCUAAAUCUAAAGGUAUUCUCAAUGGGCUAGGUGUUAUUACAACUAUUAGUAUUGUUAUAAGGCUCUGAAUGAAUGGACCAACCCUCAUCAAUUCAGACCCAUGCACCAAGACCUGGAUGGGGAAGAGGAUAUUUAAGCAACAAGAAAAAGCAAAGUUAUCCCGCAAAGAGGUGAGCCAGAGAGGCAGCACUAGCCCCUGUGUGCCCCGUGCCCCUGCAGAGACGUGCUCCCUCCUGUUGCCCCCUGCCAGGCCAGCAACCUGCCCCUCACGACUGCAGCUGCGCAGGGUGGCACAGCACAGCCCGGUGCCAUGGGGGAACAUUUAGACACUCCAAGUGUUUGAUGCGUUUUGGAGUGGGGAAUCAACUCACAUCUAGUCCCCAGGACCAUAAAUCUAAUUUAGACUGACACAAUUGCCCAUGCCCGCGCUGGCAGCUCCCUGGCCAGGGCUGUAUGCAGAGGAUGGUCAGCAGCCCCGGGAGGCAUCUGGCACAGAGAAUCACAACAUUUUCAGGCAGUUGCUUCAAGGGUCCAGCAAAUUAGUUGUACAGCCUGUUUCAGACAGACCUAAGUUCUGCCUGUGCUCCACGAGGGACGCAAACUGACUCUGGAAAUAUCUGUUCACCUGCCCUGACCCACUGCUGUGCAGGUAUCAUGCAGUAUGUCACCAGCUCCACACAGCACCUGCUGCACCCCUCUGACUCCUUUCCUGCCUGAGCUUCUCAGAAAUGGCAAGCAAACCGCACACAGGCAAAAUCUGAACACGUGCAGCAACGUGAAUGCUGUGGUUUGACUUUCCACAAUGGUAGGGUUUUGCCUCACACUCACUUUCUGUUCCUUUGAGCUCUGCAUUUAGUUAUUUCUUGGUUUUACCUUUCCUGACUCCACUACUGAGGGACCUCCACAGCCCCCCGCAAGGCCCGGGGUCGCCCACAGCUGCUGCCCCCGAGGGGCUGCUUGAAGCCAGGAAUUUGAGAAAAGCUGAAUUACCUAAACCUGAACCUGCUGCUGCCGUUCCUGGAGUUAAGGCUAAUUCCUGAGGGCACCACUCAACUUCAUAAAACCUUUACAGGCACAGAACAAGAUGGAGAAGAAAAACAGUUACCAGAAGAAAUCAUUUCUGUUUUCUCAACUUAUAAAGGUGUUACCCAUGCAUUUCUAAAAGGUGCUGGGUAGCUCUGAUAACCUUCAUUUCGUCAAGAUGAAACAGGGAAAUAACCAAUCUAAGGGCCAGACACACCAAGAAGCUGCUGUGUCAGCUGGUUUGCACCCCAAAGGAAAGGUAGGUAACCCACAAAGGUUUCCUCAGAUUGCUCUCACAUUCCAGCAAGCACAGAGCCAGACGUCAUCCUGUAUCUUGCUUUCUUGAAAGGAAUGGAGACACCUCAUUUCCAUGGAGAUCAAACACAGUUAGGUACUGAAAUACCUGACCUCACCUGUGAAGUCUGCAGCUGAACCUAGGUAUGAACCGACUCUUCCCCAGCACCAUUACCAGUGAAACAUCCUCCCUUUGCUAGCUCUGAAAGCAUUACAAUGGCAUCUGGAAAAGAAAGGCAACAAUCUGUGGAAGUCUGUGUGAUUUUAGGUUACUAAUAAAAAUAUGUGAUAAAUUCA